CAAAAAACGGAUUUUUUAUAUGAUGAUUGUUUUGUAAAAUUUUAUUAGAAUUGUAUAUGUGAUGAAAGAUAUCCACAUUGUUUCCAUAUAUUGUCUGAAGAGGUCCAUCGUCGAUGGACGAAAAGCUUCACAUUUGACAUAAAUAAUCGUUUGAAUAAAUGUGGAUUGAUUUUUU